CAGUCGUACCUGCGGAUAAUCAACCUUUAGAUGCGAUUUUGUGGAGUGUGAGGAGCUAAUCGCCUUCAUGCCUGUAUAUUCGUGUACUUGGGGUGUACUUAUUCGUGAGGUAAGUUAACAUCAAUUUUGGUGGUCAUAAAAUGACUGGAGGAAUGUAGCUUCGAUCUCGUAUUGAAGUGUUAUAGCCUUUGGUAGAUGUGAUGAUCGAGAUUGAGGAUUGCAACGGAUACCCUUCGGGGCUACCUGUCUGGUCUCUGAUCGUUGCUCUGGUGCCGAAAGCUUGCUUACGGUUAUCAAAGUCGAUGGUCAAUAGGUUAGAACGGGUUAAA
rnacentral:rRNA from 1 species